rnacentral:rRNA from 1 species
GAUGAACGCUGGCGGCGUGCCUAAUACAUGCAAGUCGAGCGAAGCGGGGACGGGUGAGUAACCCGAGGAUACCAUCCUAUAAGACUGGAGUAACUUCGGGAAACCGGAGCUAAACCGGUUACUUAUAGAUGGAUCCGCGCUGAAUUAGCUAGUUGCUACGGUAACGGCUUAACAAGGCAACGAUGCGUAGCCGACCUGAGAGAGUGAUCAGCCAAACUGGAACUGCGACACGGUCCAGACUCCUACGGGAGGCAGCAGUAGGGAAUCUUCCGCAAUGGGCGAAAGCCUGACGGAGCAACGCCGCGUGAGUGAUGAAGGUCUUCGGAUCGUAAAACUCUGUCAUUAGGGAAGCGUUACCUAAUCAGAAAGCCACGGCUAACUUCGUGCCAGCCGCCGCGGUAAUAC